CUCUCCUCUCUCUUCCUCCAUCUCGUCUCCCUCCCUCCCUCCAUCUCCUCUCUCCCUCUCGCUCCUCCACCCAUAGCAGCCAGACACAGUGAGAAGGCAGGGAUUGGAUGUGCUCUCUCUCUGAAGGGUCCUCCCUGGGGUCCAUUCCUGAUCUUACAUCCCUACUUUUUGGAGCCUGGACCAGAAGGAGACUGUGCCCUUCUCCCCUAGUCUGGGGCCCCUGGGAGCUGGAUGAGGCUGGCACAGCAUGCCAGGGUGUCAGUGUGCUGUGUUCCUUGCCCUUGUAGGGGCAUUAAGAUGGGGCUUCAGCUGAGGAGCAGGAAGGCUUGCCCAGGGAUGGAUGUUAUGGAUGGAGCCAGGCUUGCCCUCUGAAUGCCCCUUACAUGCCAUCUCCCUUCUCCAUCCCCUGAGCGUCUCUUUCCCUGCGGCGGGUGGGCAGGUGGGGGCUGCAGCAGGAGAGAGGGCAAACCUGGCACUGGCUGGAUGGCAUGGUGCAGACACAGUCUGACUGAAGGUAAGGCUGGCACACUGCAGCAAUGGGUGAAAUGGGUGGAGGGAAUGACAGAGAGAGAGAGAUGGAGAGGGAAAUCUGUACUGUUAUAAUAUAGCUGUUAAAUAUCCUAAAUCUGUGUUAUAUAUCAUAUCUCCAUGUUAUAUAUCCAUUCUCCAUGGUAAAUGUCCUAUCUCCAUGUUAAAUAUCCUAUCUCAAUGCUAUAUAGCUCCCUGCCCAUGCUAUACAUCCUAUCUCCAUGUUAAAUAUCCUAUCUCAAUGCUAUAUAGCUCCCUGCCCAUGCUAUACAUCCUAUCUCCAUGUUAAAUAUCCUAUCUCAAUGCUAUAUAG